rnacentral:rRNA from 1 species
CCUACGGGAGGCAGCAGUAGGGAAUAUUGCUCAAUGGGGGAAACCCUGAAGCAGCAACGCCGCGUGGAGGAUGAAGGUUUUCGGAUUGUAAACUCCUUUUGUUAGAGAAGAUAAUGACGGUAUCUAACGAAUAAGCACCGGCUAACUCCGUACCAGCAGCCGCGGUAAUACGGAGGGUGCAAGCGUUAUUCGGAAUCACUGGGCGUAAAGAGCGCGUAGGCGGGAUAGCAAGUCAGAUGUGAAAUCCUAGGGCUUAACCAUAGAACUGCAUUUGAAACUGUGAUUCUAGAGUAUGGGAGAGGUAGGUGGAAUUCUUGGUGUAGGGGUAAAAUCCGUAGAGAUCAAGAGGAAUACUCAUUGCGAAGGCGACCUGCUAGAACAUAACUGACGCUGAUGCGCGAAAGCGUGGGGAGCAAACAGGAUUAGAUACCCGAGUAGUC